rnacentral:rRNA from 1 species
UACGUAGGCAGCGAGCGUUGUUCGGAGUUACUGGGCGUAAAGGGUGCGUAGGCGGUUCCUUAAGUUUGGUGUGAAAUCUCCCGGCUUAACUGGGAGGGUGCGACGGAUACUGAGGGACUAGAGUGCGGGAGAGGAAAGUGGAAUUCCUGGUGUAGCGGUGAAAUGCGUAGAUAUCAGGAGGAACACCGGUGGUGUAAACGGCUUUCUGGACCGUAACUGACGCUGAGGCACGAAAGCGUGGGGAGCAAACAGG